UGUUAUUGUUACAGCUGUCAUACUGACAGUUACUGUCGCAAGUAAAAUUGAAAGGUAUUUAUUGGAUUUCCUCUUUAUUCUACAUUGUUCUGAAUGCAAACUUAAUGAGGAACAUGCUCCAUUGCCUUCUUCUUCUAUUUCCUGGUAUGGAAAACCUUUCUCUGAACAUCACAUUUCACAUCGGGCAAGUACUAAUGGAACAUGUCAGCAACCAUUGAUCACUAAAGUUCUUCGUCUUCAGAAAACAUACAACAGAAACUGGAGCUAAGUAGGGACAAUUCUUCAAAUCUUUUACUUAGAACAGUGUCUUCAUAUAAGAAUGCAUUAAUUGUGGAGCUGAUAGCAACAUGCCUCUGAUGUAUAGUUGAUGACCUCAAGUUCCCCAGAAAGUGAAAAGCAUUCUUUACUAGCAGUUUUCAUUUGCAAAUAGUGGAAAUCUUAACUGCUGAAUGUAACCAUAAAUAUUACUUCAUUAAGGAGAUGGAUAACAACUAUGAACCCUAUAGCAACCUUGAAUCUAUUGUUGCUUUAUACAUGAUUCUUAGAGACUGAAAAACUUGCAAGAUGCAUUGAAUAUACUGGAAAAGCAAAAAUGUUUAUAUUCAUCAAAUUCCCAGAAAAAGGCUAAAAAUCAACAUUAAUGUCCAAAAUUCUUCUGAGAGUUGGUGUAUACGAAAAUACAAGUCAUUUUCGAAAGUGUUCUCCAAAC